rnacentral:rRNA from 1 species
UACGUAGGGCGCAAGCGUUAUCCGGAAUUAUUGGGCGUAAAGAGCUCGUAGGCGGUUUGUCGCGUCUGCUGUGAAAAUCCAGGGCUUAACCCUGGACCUGCAGUGGGUACGGGCAGACUGGAGUGCGGUAGGGGAGAUCGGAAUUCCUGGUGUAGCGGUGAAAUGCGCAGAUAUCAGGAGGAACACCGGUGGUGAAGGCGGAUCUCUGGGCCGUAACUGACGCUGAGGAGCGAAAGCAUGGGGAGCGAACAGG